rnacentral:rRNA from 1 species
CACGGCGCACGGGUGCGUAACACGUGGGCAAUCUGCCCUUCGAUGGGGAAUAACCCCGGGAAACCGGGGCUAAUUCCGCAUAACAUUCCCUUCGGCAAAGCCGCGUCGAAGGAGGAGCCCGCGCCCGAUUAGCUAGUUGGUGAGGUAAAGGCUCACCAAGGCAAUGAUCGGUAGCUGGUCUGAGAGGAUGGCCAGCCACACUGGAACUGAGACACGGUCCAGACUCCUACGGGAGGCAGCAGUGGGGAAUCUUGCACAAUGGGCGAAAGCCUGAUGCAGCGACGCCGCGUGGGGGAUGAAGCUUCUCGGAGUGUAAACCCCUUUCGACCGGGAAGAAUGACGGUACCGGUAUAAGAAGCCCCGGCUAACUACGUGCCAGCAGCCGCGGUAAGAC